GAAAAGUUUUGCUUAGGUGUGGUGGGGUGACAGAGGAGGGUGCUGACACCCUGGGUACAGGGCCAGGAGGUGACAGGGUGGCCUGCUGGACCAGGACUAGUUGGAGCUGGCAGCAUGGGCCACACCCGCGCAGACCCCCGUGGACGGAUGCUCAGGUUUCCCCAGCCUACCCGGACAGGAAGUGACAGCAAUUGUGUUGAACUUCAACUGGACACAGAAGGAGGCAAGACAUGAGACAGGAGGGUGGCCAAGUGUUCAAGCGAGCCUGUACUGCAGUGGAGCUCUGAUUCAAAAUAACCUCAGUUUCGCACAUAUCUGAGUCGUUAAUGACCUCGAGGCUAAAAGCAAAGCUGGCUAGUGUUCCCUGAGGCUGAUUUUUACCUGAAGUCCUUGACUUUGUACAAAACCCAAAAUGCCUUGAUACUUGUCUUCAGUAAUUAGACUUUAAAUUUAACUUUCUCUCCCUGCUUCCCACCCCUUUUAAAGGAGGAGUUGUUAAGGGACAACUUUUUUGAGGUAAUUAACCUAAGCCAUUAAUUCAGAUAAGCAAUUAUUAAAUGAUAAUGUAUAAAUGUGAGAGUUAUGAAUAGAAGCACCUGAAACAUGCCUUAGAGUAUAAGGAAUAAUACACUAAACCAGCACAGUGCUGAUGCAUGAAAGUUGCCUGGUAAAUUUCUUUCAACAGAUUUUGCCGUGCCUGAGGCAGAAUAUUUAUUGUGUGACUAGUCAUGGUGAGAUACACCAGCAGUCUAUGCUUAUGGGAGGUGGAGCAGUGAAGGUCACAAGUCUCAGACCAAAUCUGGCUGUAUAGUGAGACCCUGUCUGCUCCCAAAAAACACCCUCCAACCCCUAGUGUUAAGAGUCAUUAAACUGAAGUUAACUGUACAUUUAUUGUGUCUGAAUAAUGUUCUUUGCACAUCAGGUCUGUACUUGUGGCAAAAAGAGAAGUUUUCUUGGUCCUUGUAAAAAAAAGUGAGUGUUUCUUUUCCUCAGUACCAUGUUACCCGAAAUACCUGUGCGUCAAAAUGGUACCCUUGGGUUUGUGGCCUUGGAUCACCUGUGGCUGAGCCAUUGAGCUUGGGAGGCCCCUGCCUUAGCAUCCUGAGUAGCAGAGAUCAUGAGAGUGAGCCAUGGCCAGGCCUUAGCUGCUCUAAAUCAGAUCAUAAACUUUUGUCUUUUACCAGAA